UGGGGAAUUUUGGACAAUGGGCGAAAGCCUGAUCCAGCAAUGCCGCGUGUGUGAAGAAGGCCUUCGGGUUGUAAAGCACUUUUGUCCGGAAAGAAAUCCUCUGGGUUAAUACCUCGGGGGGAUGACGGUACCGGAAGAAUAAGCACCGGCUAACUACGUGCCAGCAGCCGCGGUAAUACGUAGGGUGCAAGCGUUAAUCGGAAUUACUGGGCGUAAAGCGUGCGCAGGCGGUUUUGUAAGACGGAUGUGAAAUCCCCGGGCUUAACCUGGGAACUGCAUUCGUGACUGCAAGGCUAGAGUAUGGCAGAGGGAGGUAGAAUUCCACGUGUAGCAGUGAAAUGCGUAGAGAUGUGGAGGAAUACCGAUGGCGAAGGCAGCCCCCUGGUCCAAUACUGACGCUCAUGCACGAAAGCGUGGGGAGCAAACA
rnacentral:rRNA from 1 species